UGUAAAAGUGAUGAGUUGUACCCUCAUAGAGUCAUAGCACUGGGGGAUGCAGGCACUGUGUAGUACUUUCCUGAGGAAAGAAAUGCACAGGGGCCACUCACUCAUC
ensembl:snoRNA